GGCUGGCACAGUGGUUAAGUGUUCAGCUGCUAACUGAAAGGUUGGUGGUUCCAAUCCACCAGCCA
rnacentral:tRNA from 1 species